AGCCUGCCCAUUGAUUUUUAGAAUUAAAAGGCUGCGGUAUUUUAACUGUACUAAGGUAGCAUAAUCAUUUGUCUUUUAAUUGAAGGCUAGUAUGAAUGGUUUAAUGAAAAAUUAACUUUCUUUAUUUAAUUUAAUUGAAUUUAAUUUUUAAGUUAAAAAGCUUAAAUUUUUAUAUAGGACGAGAAGACCCUUUAGAAGUUUACUUUUUUUAUUAAAAAAUUUUUUUUGUUUUUAAAUAUAUUCUUUUUGAAUAAAAAGUUUUGUUGGGGUGACAGUAAAAUUUAAUUAACUUUUAUUAUUUAUUUCAUUAAUAUAUGUUUUAUUGAUCCAAAAUUUUUGAUUAUAAGAUUAACUUACUUUAGGGAUAACAGCGAAAUUUUUUU
rnacentral:rRNA from 1 species